UGUAAAUACGCAGUUUUCAAAUGAAAUUAUUUCUUGGUGUUUAUGUUUCAGUUUUUCAAUUUAACUGUUUAUCUCCAUCUCAUAUUUUGACAGACACCGUCCAUAAUGUGUUAAUCGUUCAAAUAAUAUCAUACAUGUGACCGACUGGUUAAUGAAAGGAUUAAAGGAUUUAAAACUUAGUUUUAUGUGUAGUAGUUAUGUAAAACGUUUGUUCAGUCGCUGACUGUAACUUGAGUAAAUGACAAUUUUUGAAAUGGUGAUUUUCAAUAUAAUUAUAUGAUUAUUUGAAAAGUCAGUAGUGCGUGUUAAGACAACUUUUUGAACAGUUUUACAUUGUUCCAGCACAAACAAACAAAGUCAAGCAAGUCUGUGAAGGCAGUUAAUAGUUGGAUAAGUAAUCAGACAGGCAGAUUUAUAUAAUUAUUGUGUUAUUGUUAGUUAACAAGAUUGAAAAGUGACCAUCUUCAAAGUACAUUAAACAAGAUUUAAAAGUGACCAUCUUCAAAGUACUCUUGUCACUUAUGCAACAGUCAGUUUUACCCCCCACCCCCCAACCAGCAGGGGGAUUGUGGAUACUUUGACUGUCAGUCAAGCCAACUGCUGGUAAAGUCUCAGCCAAAUGCCACCACACCCCAGGAACCCUAGAUGAGGCCUAUUUUGCUACUUUGGCGCAAAGACAAAACCACCACAUUCAUGGAAGGUUGCAAGCAAUUACCCUGUGGACAGUUUCAAGGUGUUUGCGGGACUUGGAAAAACACUAUAUACAACUCUAUACUAGAACCACUACUGAUAAGUUACAAAAAGCAAGGAGAAGGACAUGGUCAUGGUAUAAGACUUGCACUGGAACGUCAUGGAGCUUCCUUAUAGAUUUUACCAUGUGUCAGCAUAUACCUUCUCAGUUCCGCCUAGAUGAGUCAGAGAACUCUACCUCUCAGCCAGUCCUGUUUAACCUGCUGAAUUGAACUUGCCAAUGAAAUACUACUUAUAAUUAACUUUGAACAAUGACAGAAAAUACAUGACCUUGAUGAAACAUUGAGUCAAAUAUUUUCAUAUCUGUUGACUUGCUUAUUAUUUCUUGUACAAAUGUUUCAUCAUUUUUUUGGAACAUAAUAUUAUAAAUUCUUAUCAACUGUUGAAAAUUGCUGAAAUAAAGAACUUAAUAUA